rnacentral:rRNA from 1 species
GAGUUUGAUCAUGGCUCAGGAUGAACGCUAGCUACAGGCUUAACACAUGCAAGUCGAACGGGAAACAUUUUAUUGAAGCUUCGGCAGAUUUAGUUUGUUUCUAGUGGCGGACGGGUGAGUAACGCGUGGGUAACCUGCCUCACACUGGGGGAUAACAGUCAGAAAUGACUGCUAAUACCGCAUAAGCGCACGGAACCGCAUGGUUUUGUGUGAAAAAACUCCGGUGGUGUGAGAUGGACCCCGCGUUGGAUUAGCCAGU